rnacentral:rRNA from 1 species
CCUACGCGUGGCAGCAGUGGGGGAUAUUGCACAAUGGGGGGAACCCUGAUGCAGCGACGCCGCGUGGGUGAAGAAGCGCCUCGGCGCGUAAAGCCCUGUCAGCAGGGAAGAAAAUGACGGUACCUGAAGAAGAAGCCCCGGCUAACUACGUGCCAGCAGCCGCGGUAAUACGUAGGGGUCAAGCGUUAUCCGGAUUUACUGGGUGUAAGGGGGGCGCAGACGGCGAUGCAAGCCAGGAGUGAAAGCCCGGGGCCCAACCCCGGGACUGCUCUUGGAACUGCGUGGCUGAAGUGCAGGCGGGGGAGGCGGAAUUCCUGGUGUAGCGGUGAAAUGCGUAGAUAGCAGGAGGAACACCGGUGGCGAAGGCGGCCUGCUGGACUGCAACUGACGUUGAGGCCCGAAAGCGUGGGGAGCAAACAGGAUUAGAUACCCAGUAGUC